rnacentral:lncRNA from 1 species
GGCAGGUUCAAAGGUCGUCACAGAGCUAUGUAAAACUCAGCCUCCCUCACCUCCCCCCAGCCCGCACCCAUCCCUCUCCCCCCCCCUCUCUCCCUCUCUCCCCCAGCCCUCUCCUCCCUCUCUCCCUCACGUCCCUCACUCCCCCCAGCCUCGCCCCCCCCCCCUCUCUCCCUCUCGUUCCCCCAGCCCUCAGCUCCCUCACUCCCCCCAGCCCUCAGCCCCCCCCUCUCUCCUCUCCACUCUCCCUCUCUCCCCCCCACCCUCUCCUUCUCCCCCUCUCUCCUCUCUCCCCCCACCUCUCUCCCUCUCAUCCCCUCUCCCCCCAGCCCUCUCCGUCCCUCCCUCUCCUCCCUCACUCCCCCCAGCCCUCUCCUCCCCUCUCCCUCACUACCCCCCCCCAGCCCUCAGCCCCCCCUCUCUCUCCCUCUCUCCCCCCAGCCCUCCCGCCUCCCUAUCUCCCUCAACUCCCCCAGCCCUCAGCCCCCCCCUCUUCUCCCUCUCUCCCCCCAGCCCUCAGCCUCCCUCACUCCCCCCAGCCCCUCAGCACCCACCGCUCUCCCUCCCCCCCUUCUCUCCCCCCCUCUCCUCCCUCUCUCCUCCCCCCCCAGCCCUCAUCUCCCUGCUCUCCCUCUCUCCCCCCAGCCCUCUCCUCCCGUCUCCGCCCCCCAGCCAUCUCCUCCUCUCUCUCUCCUCUCUCUCCCCCCCCAGCCCCCCUGCUCUCCCUCCCGCUCUCUCCCCCCAGCCCUCUCCUCCCUCCUCGUCCCCCCAGCCUCAGCCCCCCCCCCUCUCUCCCUCUCUCCCCCCAGCCCUCAGCCCCCCCCCUCUCUCCCUCUCUCCCCCCACCCUCAGCCCCCCCCUCGCUCCCUCCUCUCCCCCCCAGCCCUCAGCCCCCCCCUCCUCCUCCCUCUCCCCCCAGCCCUCUACCCCCCUCCCCCCCCAGCCCUCGCCUCCCUCCUCCUCCCCCCAGCCCUCUCCCCCCUCUCCCCCCCAGCCCUCUCCUCCCUCUCUCUCUCCCCCCAGCCCUCUCCUCCCUCUCUCCGCCCCCAGCCCUCUCCUCCCUCUCUCCCCCCAGCCCUCUCCUCCCUCUCUCCCCCCCUCCCCCCCCAGCCCUCUCCUCCCUCCCCCCCCAGCCCUCCUCCUCCCUCGCUCCCCCCAGCCCUCUCCUCCCUCUCUCCCCCCAGCCCUCUCCUCCCUCUCCCCCCCAGCCCGAUCUUCCUCUCCUCUCGCCCCCCUCCCCCCAGCCCUCUCUCCCUCUCUCCCUCCCAGCCCUCUCUCCCCUCUCUCGCUCCCCCCAGCCCUCUCCUCCCUCUCUCCCCCCAGCCCUCUCCUCCCCGCUCUCUCCCUCUCUCCCCCAGCCCUCUCCUCCCUCUCUCCCUCAGCCCUCACCCUCCGCCCCCCCCUCUUCCUCUCUCACCCCCCGCCCUCAUCCCCCCCCCUCUCCUCCUCUCCUCCCC